CACCGCGCUGCCUAAAUUGCAGAAAGCGGGUGCGAGACCCUCAGCCGGCAGCCCCAGAGGGUCGGGAGCCGGAGGAGGGAAGCGCGUCAUCAGCGGAGGCUUUCGGAGGCGCCAUCAUAUCCUUUGGAAAUCCGGACUUCUUGUGAAGUGGCAAUCAUGCGACAAACGCACACCACCUGACUUCUCAGACUGGUCCCCAUCUAGGCAGCAGCCUCCUGGCCUUUAUUUCUUUUCAACAAACAAAGUGGUCACGAAGGGAGUGGAUUAUGACGCCAUCCUAGCCUGCAGGGGUGAAGAGGAAGAAUACAAGGCCCAAUUACAGCCAUCACUGACUGAGCAGGACCCUGAGGAGGUGACAUUUGCCCAGCCGUUCCACAGUGGCAAACCUGGACCAGGUGCUCACCAGGUGCCUGGCUCAGAGUAUCACAGCUUCUGACCUUAGGGACUGAAAACCCAGCGCAGUUUUUCUGGUUCGAUGACCAUCUACAUCAAAAUUGUCCUGGUGCUCGUUACAAUGUGAAUUUCUCCCCUCCCCGAAGGACAAUCAGAGAAUUGGAUGAAGCAGGUCCGGCUGUAGCACCCAGGUGUGAUUCUGAUGCGCACUCGUUCGCCAGGUGAACGGGGGAAAAAUUGGUCCAGGCAGGAGGAACAGCACCGACAAUGGCUUGGGAGUCCUCCGUAGCCUUCAAGCACUGGGGUUGCAGUUCAGAAACUGUUGGCUCUGGGAGGAGAGGGCUCCUGUCCAUACAGUUUAUCACCCGGAGCCUGGAACACAGCAGGGCCUCAUAAAUACUUGUUAAUACGCUGGCUCCCCAAAUAGAAGUGAGUAGAAAGUCAAAGGGAAAAACGAAAGAUUCAGAGGAGGAAAAAAAAAAGGUGUUUCUAAGGG
rnacentral:lncRNA from 1 species